GAUCCUGGCUCAGGAUGAACGCUAGCUACAGGCUUAACACAUGCAAGUCGAGGGGCAGCAUGGACCCAGCUUUGCUGGGUUUGAUGGCGACCGGCGCACGGGUGAGUAACGCGUAUCCAACCUGCCCUUUACUCCGGGAUAGUCUCCUGAAAGGGAGUUUAAUACCGGAUGUGUUUGUCUUUCCGCAUGGGAGCGACAAAUAAAGAUUGAUUGGUAAAGGAUGGGGGAUGCGUCCCCACUAGCUUGUUGGG
rnacentral:rRNA from 1 species